AACGAACGCUGGCGGCAUGCCUAACACAUGCAAGUCGAACGAGACCUUCGGGUCUAGUGGCGCACGGGUGCGUAACGCGUGGGAAUCUGCCCUUGGGUUCGGAAUAACAGUUGGAAACGACUGCUAAUACCGGAUGAUGACGUAAGUCCAAAGAUUUAUCGCCCAGGGAUGAGCCCGCGUAGGAUUAGCUGGUUGGUGGGGUAAAGGCCUACCAAGGCGACGAUCCUUAGCUGGUCGGAGAGGAUGAUCAGCCACACUGGGACUGAGACACGGCCCAGACUCCUACGGGAGGCAGCAGUGGGGAAUAUUGGACAAUGGGCGAAAGCCUGAUCCAGCAAUGCCGCGUGAGUGAUGAAGGCCUUAGGGUUGUAAAACUCUUUUACCCGGGAUGAUAAUGACAGUACCGGGAGAAUAAGCCCCGGCUAACUCCGUG
rnacentral:rRNA from 1 species